GAGUUUGAUCGUGGCUCAGGAUGAACGCUAGCUACAGGCUUAACACAUGCAAGUCGAGGGGCAUCGGGAAGAAAGCUUGCUUCCGAUAGGCGUCGACCGGCGCACGGGUGAGUAACGCGUAUCCAACCUGCCCACCACUUGGGGAUAACCUUGCGAAAGUAAGACUAAUACCCAAUGAUAUCUCUAGAAGACGUCUGAAAGAGAUUAAAGAUUUAUCGGUGAUGGAUGGGGAUGCGUCUGAUUAGCUUGUUGGCGGGUAACGCCCACCAAGGCAACGAUCAGUAGGGGUUCUGAGAGGAAGGUCCCCCCAAUUGGAACUGAGACACGGUCCAAACUCCUACGGGAGCAGCAGUGAGGAA
rnacentral:rRNA from 1 species